rnacentral:tRNA from 1 species
GUGGGUAUAGGCGAGUAAAAGUCUGACACCGGCCUUUCACGCCGGCGACACCGGUUCAAAUCCGGUUGGGGACG